GACGGAGGGUGCGAGCGUUGUCCGGAAUCACUGGGCGUAAAGGGCGCGUAGGUGGCGCGGGCAGUCAACGGUGAAAGUUCGGGGCUCAACCCUGAAUCGGCCGUCGAUACUCCCGUGCUUGAGCACUGUAGAGGCAGAUGGAAUUCCGGGUGUAGCGGUGGAAUGCGUAGAGAUCCGGAAGAACACCGGUGGCGAAGGCGGUCUGCUGGGCAGUAGCUGACACUGAGGCGCGACAGCGUGGGGAGCAAACAGG
rnacentral:rRNA from 1 species